GGGUUGUGAGGUUAAGCGACUAAGCGUACACGGUGGAUGCCCUGGCAGUCAGAGGCGAUGAAGGGCGUGCUAAUCUGCGAUAAGCGCCGGUAAGGUGAUAUGAACCGUUAUAACCGGCGAUACCCGAAUGGGGAAACCCAGUGUGAUUCGUCACACUAUCAUUAACUGAAUCCAUAGGUUAAUGAGGCGAACCGGGGGAACUGAAACAUCUAAGUACCCCGAGGAAAAGAAAUCAACCGAGAUUCCCCCAGUAGCGGCGAGCGAACGGGGAGGAGCCCAGAGCCUGAAUCAGCAUGUGUGUUAGUGGAAGCGUCUGGAAAGGCGCGCGAUACAGGGUGACAGCCCCGUACACAAAAGCGCAUGUGCUGUGAGCUCGAUGAGUAGGGCGGGACACGUGGUAUCCUGUCUGAAUAUGGGGGGACCAUCCUCCAAGGCUAAAUACUCCUGACUGACCGAUAGUGAACCAGUACCGUGAGGGAAAGGCGAAAAGAACCCCGGCGAGGGGAGUGAAAAAGAACCUGAAACCGUGUACGUACAAGCAGUGGGAGCACAGGUUUACCUGUGUGACUGCGUACCUUUUGUAUAAUGGGUCAGCGACUUAUAUUCUGUAGCAAGGUUAACCGUAUAGGGGAGCCGAAGGGAAACCGAGUCUUAACCGGGCGUUAAGUUGCAGGGUAUAGACCCGAAACCCGGUGAUCUAGCCAUGGGCAGGUUGAAGGUUGGGUAACACUAACUGGAGGACCG
rnacentral:rRNA from 1 species